rnacentral:lncRNA from 1 species
AUCCCAAAAAAGUGUAAAUCAAUACCAAAAAUACACAAAAAGUUUGAAGAAUCAAAACCACAGAACAUGAACACAACCAGAUUCAAUACAGCCACUUCUACACACACUCAUGUAGUUAGUACAAUUUUUGUAAUAAUUGAAUGAAGAUGAGAUUACUCAGAUUUUGAAUAUGUGUUUUAAGGGUCUGACGAAUUCAUCCGUAUGGUUGAUUUUUCAUAAAUUUAGGCUUGGAUUGAAUAACUCAGAUUUUAAGUGCAAAUUUUACAUGUCAUUUACUAACAUACAAAAUAUGAGUCAUCUAAUUUUUUAUCCUGCGGUUCCAAGUUACUAAAUGGGUGAAUGAGUGCUUAACUGAACUAAGGGAAUCCAAAUACGAAUAUGACCAUUUUACUUUGGAUGAAGUAAAGAACAAAAAAAAUAACUUUUUAAAGUUUAAAUCCAAGACUAGAACUUUAAAUACAAUCAGGUAAAAUGAAAAAGCAGCUACCAAGUUAAUGAUUUAGUUUAUAUGAAAAAUGAAUUAAGGCUCAGAAAUUUUUGGAAGUAUUAAACAAAGACCAAAAUGUAACAAACCUUGUUGCUGAAGGGGACUAGAUCACCAAGGGAAUUGGUGGUUUUCUGGCCCAAUCUAAGGUAAGCAGGGCUUCCACGAUCUCUCUCAUUGAUCUCAUACACACUUAGUUCUUGGACUUUGGCUGCAAGAUCAAGCAAAAAAACCAAAAGGGUCAGCACAGAAUCAAGUAAAUCCCACAGAUCUUCAAUGUACACAGCAUUAAUAGAUCUAACAACAAGAUUGAAAACCUUGUAGGGGAAGCUGGCACAUAUACCUGAAUCAGAUGUUCGUUCAGCCUGGCUUCUACAAGUGAAACUCUUGUGGGGGAAUGAGAGGUGAGAGUACUGAGAAGAGGUACUGAGUUUGAGAGAUUUGGAUAGAGAUGAGUGUGAGGAAGUAAAGGGUAAAAGGGUUGUGGUGGAUGAUGUGGUGAGUGAUGAUC